rnacentral:rRNA from 1 species
GUUCAGGUAUACCACCCUGAACGUGCCUGAUCUUGUCUGAUCUUGGAAGCUAAGCAGGGUCAGGCCUGGUUAGUACUUGGAUGGGAGACCUCCUGGGAAUACCAGGUGCUAUAGGCU